rnacentral:rRNA from 1 species
AGAGUUUGAUCAUGGCUCAGAUUGAACGCUGGCGGCAGGCUUAACACAUGCAAGUCGAACGAUGAUUAUCUAGCUUGCUAGAUAUGAUUAGUGGCGGACGGGUGAGUAACAUUUAGGAAUCUGCCUAGUAGUGGGGGAUAGCUCGGGGAAACUCGAAUUAAUACCGCAUACGACCUACGGGUGAAAGGGGGCGCAAGCUCUUGCUAUUAGAUGAGCCUAAAUCAGAUUAGCUAGUUGGUGGGGUAAAGGCCCACCAAGGCGACGAUCUGUAACUGGUCUGAGAGGAUGAUCAGUCACACCGGAACUGAGACACGGUCCGGACUCCUACGGGAGGCAGCAGUGGGGAAUAUUGGACAAUGGGGGCAACCCUGAUCCAGCCAUGCCGCGUGUGUGAAGAAGGCCUUUUGGUUGUAAAGCACUUUAAGCAGGGAGGAGAGGCUAAUGGUUAAUACCCAUUAGAUUAGACGUUACCUGCAGAAUAAGCACCGGCUAACUCUGUGCCAGCAGCCGCGGUAAUACAGAGGGUGCGAGCGUUAAUCGGAAUUACUGGGCGUAAAGCGAGUGUAGGUGGCUCAUUAAGUCACAUGUGAAAUCCCCGGGCUUAACCUGGGAACUGCAUGUGAUACUGGUGGUGCUAGAAUAUGUGAGAGGGAAGUAGAAUUCCAGGUGUAGCGGUGAAAUGCGUAGAGAUCUGGAGGAAUACCGAUGGCGAAGGCAGCUUCCUGGCAUAAUAUUGACACUGAGAUUCGAAAGCGUGGGUAGCAAACAGGAUUAGAUACCCUGGUAGUCCACGCCGUAAACGAUGUCUACUAGCCGUUGGGGUCCUUGAGACUUUAGUGGCGCAGUUAACGCGAUAAGUAGACCGCCUGGGGAGUACGGCCGCAAGGUUAAAACUCAAAUGAAUUGACGGGGGCCCGCACAAGCGGUGGAGCAUGUGGUUUAAUUCGAUGCAACGCGAAGAACCUUACCUGGUCUUGACAUAGUGAGAAUCCUGCAGAGAUGCGGGAGUGCCUUCGGGAAUUCACAUACAGGUGCUGCAUGGCUGUCGUCAGCUCGUGUCGUGAGAUGUUGGGUUAAGUCCCGCAACGAGCGCAACCC